UACGAGGGGUGCAAGCGUUAUUCGGAAUUAUUGGGCGUAAAGGGUGUGUAGACGGCGUGCUAAGUCUGUUGUUAAAUUUUCCGGCCUAACCGGAAGUCUGCGGCGGAAACUAGUAUGCUAGAGGGUGGAAGAGAGAAGUGGAAUUCUCGGAGUAGCGGUAAAAUGCGUGGAUCUCGAGAGGAACACCGAUGGCGAAGGCAGCUUCUUGGUCCAUUCCUGACGUUGAAACACGAAAGCGUGGGGAGCAAACAGGAUUAGAUACCCCAGUA
rnacentral:rRNA from 1 species